AUCAUCUGAUAAGGAUGUGAUUGAGGCUGUCUGCAAGUGUAUUUACUUUCUUCAGUCCAGUUCAUCUGACAGCAGCGCGGCUUCUCCUCCAGCUGCGUUUCCUUGGUGAUGAAGAGGCGUUUGAGGAAGAGCAGCUGCAGGUAUCCCGAGGAAAAAGUAAAGAAGUAUUUGCUCAUGAAGAUGAAGGAUUUGAUUCCCGCUCCCACUCGUGCACACUGUGUCCUUGGGCAAGAGACUUCACCCAGUCUGCUUCAUCUACGUACACUGACACAUGAACUCAGUGUUGCCUAUUGA